GCGCGAAACCUCCGCAAUGUGAGAAAUCGCGACGGGGGGAUCCCAAGUGCCAUUCUUAACGGGAUGGCUUUUCAUUAGUGUAAAGAGCUUUUGGAAUAAGAGCUGGGCAAGACCGGUGCCAGCCGCCGCGGUAACACCGGCAGCUCUAGUGGUAGCAGUUUUUAUUGGGCCUAAAGCGUCCGUAGCCGGUUUAAUAAGUCUCUGGUGAAAUCCUGCAGCUUAACUGUGGGAAUUGCUGGAGAUACUAUUAGACUUGAGAUCGGGAGAGGUUAGAGGUACUCCCAGGGUAGAGGUGAAAUUCUGUAAUCCUGGGAGGACCGCCUGUUGCGAAGGCGUCUGACUGGAACGAUUCUGACGGUGAGGGACGAAAGCUAGGGGC
rnacentral:rRNA from 1 species